CGGUGCACCCUCUUACGUUUAAGGUUCAACCCACUUCGAUAAAGAAGAUCGGAGACGUAUAAAAUGGAUGUCAUCCGCAAUAUUGUAGGAGGAUUCCCAGUACAAGUCAGAUCGACGGUUUCCAUUUUACUAAGCGUAUCGCUAUACAUAAUAUAUUUGUUCGUUAAUUAUUCUUCGAAGAAUCUUCCUUCCGAAUCACUAAUGCCAUCUUACGAUUUCAUAAUCGUAGGCGGUGGUACUGCAGGAAUUGUUAUAGCGAAUCGGUUGUCCGAGAUAGAAGACUGGAACGUACUUCUCUUGGAAGCAGGUGGCGAUGGAAGCAUUAUAUAUGAUAUUCCUGUUACUGCUGCUAAUCUGCAGCU